GAAGAGAAUGCAAAUCACACAGAUUAUUUUGCCUCAGUAACUCUGCCACUUUUGCGGCUGGAGGACAGCCUUGAUUGUGAAGCAGCAAUUUGAACCAGUAGGAGGGUCAAGCGGGCCAUUACUUUGGUGUUGAAGAGUGCGACUGGCUGGGCAGGCACAGAGCUCAUAUAGGCAGACCUAUAGUACAUGCUGUUUUUUUAAGGCAAAGGGAAGUGCUGUAUGAAAGGCGGGGAGCAAUGUGGAAUGGAAUUACUGGGAACUAUUCAGCAUUAUGCUUGCCAUACAGCUGAGGCCAUUUUAAAUGAAAAAUCAAAGACAUCACAGACAAAUGAAAUCCAGCCCAUCUAAACUUACUUUAAGAUUUUCCUCUCUCCCUCUCACCCAUGGAUGGAUUAGUUAACAACCAACGGAGCAGCCACCAGCUUGACAUCAGGAGGAAGAUGCCAGAAGCACAGAUGGUCCACAACCCAGAUAAUUAGAAACAACAUCUACUAAGUCUUCUGUGAACGCAGAGUUUGGUUGGGCACAGCUGGGGCAGAGAACAAGCAAGCCUCCUCAACAACUCUUUUUUUUUUACCUCUUAAAAUGUCAGAGGAACACUCACUCACUCCAGGUGGACAACCACCUACUCACAAGACCUUCAGAGAAGAAUCCAAAUAAAUAUUGCAGAUACUCCACCCUAAAGGAAGGGGAGCAUAACUCCCCCCUCCUUAAAUGUGGGAAACACAUGGUAUAACAACUUCCUUCCAAAGAGUACGUGAUGGAAGUAGGGGAGAGGAGAGUGUAAUUCUACUACUGCUUCUAUCAGGUGAUAAAAGUCAAUAUCAACAGUCAUAAAUUAUGUCGAUAAUAUGUAUGGCACUUUGCCUCUCUGAUCUUCCUCCCCCAAACCCAUAAUCUCAGCCUAUCAUGAGAAAACCAUCAGACAGAUUCCAAUAGAGGGGCAUCCUACAGUAUAUCUGACCAGACUUCUCAAACUCCUCAAAAACUACUCUCAAGGUCAUCAAAAACAAGGAACAUCUGAGAAACUGUCACAGCACAGAGGAGCCUAAGGAGAUAGGACAACUAUAUGUAAUAAGGUAUCCUCUAUGGAUGGGAUCUUGGAACAAAAAGAGGACAU